CCUACGGGGGGCAGCAGUGGGGAAUAUUGCGCAAUGGGGGGAACCCUGACGCAGCCAUGCCGCGUGAAUGAAGAAGGCCUUCGGGUUGUAAAGUUCUUUCGGUAUUGAGGAAGGUUGAUGUGUUAAUAGUACAUCAAAUUGACGUUAAAUACAGAAGAAGCACCGGCUAACUCCGUGCCAGCAGCCGCGGUAAUACGGAGGGUGCGAGCGUUAAUCGGAAUAACUGGGCGUAAAGGGCACGCAGGCGGUUAUUUAAGUGAGGUGUGAAAGCCCCGGGCUUAACCUGGGAAUUGCAUUUCAGACUGGGUAACUAGAGUACUUUAGGGAGGGGUAGAAUUCCACGUGUAGCGGUGAAAUGCGUAGAGAUGUGGAGGAAUACCGAAGGCGAAGGCAGCCCCUUGGGAAUGUACUGACGCUCAUGUGCGAAAGCGUGGGGAGCAAACAGGAUUAGAUACCCGAGUAGUC
rnacentral:rRNA from 1 species